ACUAAACAGCUAGCUCGACCCACACAACCAGAUCAACAACAUAUUCUAGUUUUACACAAGCUUAAGCCACCUAAUAAACCAUUCGACCACCCCAGUAUGGGCGACAGAAAAGGACAUGCGAAGCUAUAGAAGAA
rnacentral:rRNA from 1 species